GUACCCGGAGGAAGAGAAAUCAAACGAGAUGCCCACAGUAGCGGCGAGCGAAGAGGGCAGAGCCCAAACCGAGAAGCUCCGGCUUUUCGGGGUUGAGGACCGGCAGAAUCGAAGUCAGGCCUAGUCGAAUUACCUGGAAAGGUAAGCGAGAGAGGGUAAAAGCCCCGUAGACGAAAGGCAGAGCAGAGAGGCCGAGAUCCAGAGUACCACGAAGCACGAGGAAUUUUGUGGGAAGCAGGGGGGACCACCCUCCAAGGCUAAAAACUACUUGGCGACCGAUAGCGCAUAGUACCGUGAGGGAAAGGUGAAAAGAACCCCGGGAGGGGAGUGAAAUAGUACCUGAAACCGUAUGUCUACAAGCAGUCGAAGCGAAAGCGACGGCGUGCCUAUUGAAGAAUGAACCAACGAGUUAUCUGCACUAGCGAGGUUAAGUGGAAGACACGGAGCCGCAGCGAAAGCGAGUCUUAAGAGGGCGCUAGUUAGUGUAGGUAGACCCGAAACCGCAGUGAUCUACCCAUGUCCAGGUUGAAGCGCAGGUAAAAUUGCGUGGAGGACCGAACCGGUGAGCGUUGAAAAGCUUUCGGAUGAGAUGUGGGUAGGGGUGAAAUUCCAAUCGAACGCGGAGAUAGCUGGUUCUCCCCGAAAUAGCUUUAGGGCUAGCCUGAGGUAGUAAGUAUAGGCGGUAGAGCACUGAUCGGGCUAGGGGCCGUAAAGGUUACCGAACCCUGUCAAACUCCGAAUGGAUAUACUGUAGAGCCUUGGAGUCAGACUACGAGUGAUAAGAUCCGUGGUCAAAAGGGAAACAGCCCAGACCACCAGCUAAGGUCCCCAAUGUCGUACUAAGUGGAAAAGGAUGUGGGGUUUCAUAAACAACCAGGAUGUUGGCUCAGAAGCAGCCACCAUUUAAAGAGUGCGUAAUAGCUCACUGGUCGAGAGACCCUGCGCCGAAGAUUCCCGGGGCUAAAGUACGAAACCGAAGCUGUGGCUGUAUACGUAAAGUAUACGGGGUAGGGGAGCGUUCCCAUAGGGUAGAAGUCGAACUGGAAGGUUCGGUGGACUUGUGGGAAGUGAGAAUGUUGGUAUGAGUAGCGAAAAGAAAGGUGAGAAUCCUUUCCACCGAAAGCAUAAGGAUUCCUGAGCAACGAUCGUCGUCUCAGGGUAAGUCGGGACCUAAUCCGAGGCAGAGAGCGUAGGAGAUGGACAACUGGUUGAUAUUCCAGUACCGGUAGUAAUUGUUUGAGCAAUGGAGUGACACAGAAGGGCAGGCAAGCAUGCGAAUGGAAGAGCAUGUGUAAGCGUGUAGGGUGGUGCAUAGGCAAAUCCGUGCACUGAAAGCCUGAGGCGUGAUGCGGAGUGAGCAGAGAUGCGAGCGAAGUUGUUGACCCCACACUGUCGAGAAAAGCUUCUAGUGAGAGAGCUACCGCCCGUACCGUAAACCGACACAGGUAUGCGGGGAGAGAAUCCUAAGGUGCGCGGGAGAACCCUCGUUAAGGAACUCGGCAAAAUGUACCCGUAACUUCGGGAUAAGGGUAGCCACUGUUGUGAAGUCCCAUGCGGAUGGAGCAUAGAGUGGUCGCAGAGAAGAGGCCCAAGCGACUGUUUACCAUAAACACAGGUGCCUGCUAAAGCGAAAGCUGACGUAUAGGUGCUGACACCUGCCCAGUGCCGGAAGGUUAAGGAAGGAUGUUCGGAUUAGUCCAAAGCAUUCGACUGAAGCCCCGGUGAACGGCGGCCGUAACUAUAACGGUCCUAAGGUAGCGAAAUUCCUUGUCGGGUAAGUUCCGACCCGCACGAAAGGUGUAACGAUUUGGGCACUGUCUCAACGAGGGACCCGGUGAAAUUGAAAUACCUGUGAAGAUGCAGGUUACCCGCGACUGGACAGAAAGACCCCAUGGAGCUUUACUGUAACCUGACAUUGGGUUUUGAUACAUUACGUACAGGAUAGGUGGGAGGCUUGGAAAGUUGGACGCUAGUCUGACUGGAGCCGACGUUGGGAUACCACCCUUGAUGUAUUGAAAUUCUAACCGCGAGAGUAACGAAAUCCGGGACAGUGUCAGGCGGGCAGUUUGACUG
rnacentral:rRNA from 1 species